GUCGAGAAUCUUCGGCAAUGGGCGAAAGCCUGACCGAGCGACGCCGCGUGCGGGAUGAAGGCCUUCGGGUUGUAAACCGCUUUCGGGGGUUAUGAAAUGGACGGCGAUGAACACUCGCCGUUCUUGACAAAGGCUCCUGAAGAAGUCACGGCUAAAUGCGUGCCAGCAGCCGCGGUAAGACGCAUGUGGCGAGCGUUAUUCGGAAUCACUGGGCUUAAAGGGCGCGUAGGCGGUAAGGUGUGCAGGUGGUGAAAGCCCCCGGCUUAACCGGGGAACUGCCCCCUGAACUACCUUGCUUGAGGAUGGGAGGGGAGACUGGAAUUCCUGGUGGAGCGGUGAAAUGCGUAGAUAUCAGGAGGAACGCCUGUGGCGAAAGCGAGUCUCUGGUCCAUUCCUGACGCUGAGGCGCGAAAGCCAGGGGAGCAAACGGGAUUAGAAACCCGGGUAGUCC
rnacentral:rRNA from 1 species